rnacentral:ncRNA from 2 species
CGCAGCCUGCGCGACUGGCGAUACGGGGCGGCGGCCGGAAGUCCGACCUCCCUCGAGGUGGACGACCACCGGGGAGCGCAGCCGGCAGCGCUCACUAUCCCUGCCGCCGGUGCCUGCCGUUCGCCUGGGCAACCCUC